rnacentral:lncRNA from 1 species
UUUUCUUAUUUUCUAAAAAAAUAAAUGUGAAACGUUCAACAGCCCUAAAAUUGUUGAUUAACUGCACCCCUCUGUCCUGUCAAAUGUGUCUUAUAGAUCUGUUUCCCAGGCAGCAUCUGAGCAUCUGGCAAAUGGCUUUGCCAGCCGUAUGUUUUUAUUUUUCCCAAAGGGGUACCACGCCAAGGCCCCUCCUCAACUCCAAGGCCAAGACCUCAGAUCUGCACAGACGUUUGGGGAGCAAAAAGAAGCAGGCAAGACCACAAGGUUGCAAAGGAUGCAUCUAUGAGACUUCACCAUGAAUUGGAAAAUGUGGAAGAAAAGCGAACAACAAUGGAAGACGAAAAUGAGAAACUGAGGCAACAGCUCAUAGAAGUCGAGAUAGCAAAACAAGCACUGCAGAAUGAACUGGAAAAAAACGAGGGAGGGGGGGCUUACUGUAUUAGCUACAGUUUACGGAUGAGGAGAUGCUGGAGAAGACUCUUGAGAGUCCCUUGGACUGCAAGGAGAUCCAACCAGUCCAUCUUAAAGGACAUCAGUCCUGGGUGUUCAUUGGAAGGAGUGAUGUUGAAGCUGAAACUCCAAUACUUUGGCCACCUGAUGCGAAGAACUGACUCAUUUGAAAAGACCCUGAUGCUGGGAAAGAUUGAAGGCGGGAGAAGGGGAUGACAGAGGAUGAGAUGGUUGAAUGGCAUCACCGACUCAAUGGACAUGAGGUUGGGUAAACUCUGGGGGUUGGUGAUGGACAGGGAGGCCUGGCGUGCUGCAGUCCAUGGGGUCAGAGUCGGACACAACUGAGAGACUGAACUGAACUGAACUGAACUGAACUGAACAGAUGAAGAUACUGAGGCUAAAGUUUGCACAGCCAGGGAGUGGGGCAGACAGGAUUCUGACCUGUGUCUGUCUGACGCCAUAACCCCUGACCUCUCCACUGGGCAGGAGAGAUGCCAGAUGAGUGACUCAGGAAGUAGGAUCAAAGGUUUCCCUCUUUCAAGGCAAGUGUCCUUUCAUACCAAGUAGCUAGUAAACGAGCUAGGCCGUCUCAUUUAUUAUUGUCUGCAUAUCUUGUAUUGGAUUCCAUGUGCCAGUACAGUGGUAAAGACGCAGCAUUUUAUUUCUUUUUAAUAACAGGACAUUUAAAGCCAAUUUGCCCAAAUAAGGGUUUAAUUUCCAUUCUUCAGACCGCAUGACUGAUGCUUGUAUCUGACUAACAUAACCCCUCCUCGAACAAUAUGAAACAAAUCAGGGUGAUUUCCUACUCACAACAAUGAGAAAUGAUCAGCUAUUCCUUCUCUUUCCGAGCCAUCUGCUGAACUUCACUGAGUUACAUGCUGGUGAUUGUCAGUUCAAAAGAGAUGAGACCAGAGAGGUCGAUACACAGAAAAAAAAAUGCAUCAAAAGAGCAGAAUUCAGAAAUCACUUACUUAAAGACAUGUAUAGCUGAUUAAAACAUUUUUUAAAAUU